GGAAGAGUCACGGCUCAGUGGUAAAGUAUCUGCUUUGCAUGCAGAAGGUUGCAGGUUCAAAACUUGGCACCUCUA